CCCAAAAUGGGGCCUAGGUGAAAAGGGAACCGGGUGCGAAUCCCGGACAGACGGCGCUGCUGUGUGCUCUACCAAUGAGUCUCAUCAUUCAGUCACUGGGAUGCGACCUGUGUAACCUGGGAAGGCGAUGAGGCCGGAGCGAGUCAGAAGACCUGCCAAGUCG
rnacentral:ncRNA from 1 species